AUUGAACGCUGGCGGCAUGCUUUACACAUGCAAGUCGAACGGCAGCGCGGGCUUCGGCCUGGCGGCGAGUGGCGAACGGGUGAGUAAUGCAUCUGAACGUGCCCAGUAGUGGGGGAUAGCCCGGCGAAAGCCGGAUUAAUACCGCAUACGACCUGAGGGUGCAAGCGGGGGACCGAAAGGCCUCGCGCUCUUGGAGCGGCCGAUGUCGGAUUAGCUAGUUGGUGGGGUAAAGGCUUACCAAGGCGACGAUCCGUAGCUGGUCUGAGAGGACGACCAGCCACACUGGGACUGAGACACGGCCCAGACUCCUACGGGAGGCAGCAGUGGGGAAUUUUGGACAAUGGGGGCAACCCUGAUCCAGCCAUGCCGCGUGCGGGAAGAAGGCCUUCGGGUUGUAAACCGCUUUUGUUCGGGAAGAAAUCCUCUGGGCUAAUACCCCGGGGGGAUGACGGUACCGGAAGAAUAAGCACCGGCUAACUACGUG
rnacentral:rRNA from 1 species